GCUCGGGUGGCGAAAUUGGCAGACGCGACGGUCUUAGAAGCCGUUGGAGCAAUCCUUAGGGGUUCGAGUCCCCUCCCGAGCACCA
rnacentral:tRNA from 1 species